rnacentral:rRNA from 1 species
CAGUCGCCGCGGUAAAACGGAGGGAGCUAGCGUUGUUCGGAAUUACUGGGCGUAAAGCGCACGUAGGCGGCUUUGUAAGUUAGAGGUGAAAUCCCAGGGCUCAACCCUGGAACUGCCUUUAAUACUGGCAAUCUCGAGUCCGAGAGAGGUGAGUGGAAUUCCGAGUGUAGAGGUGAAAUUCGUAGAUAUUCGGAGGAACACCAGUGGCGAAGGCGGCUCACUGGCUCGGUACUGACGCUGAGGUGCGAAAGCGUGGGGAGCAAACAGGAUUAGAUACCCCCGUAGUCCCUGUCUCUUAUAA